rnacentral:rRNA from 1 species
AUUGAACGCUGGCGGAAUGCUUUACACAUGCAAGUCGAACGGUAACAGGUCUUCGGAUGCUGACGAGUGGCGAACGGGUGAGUAAUAUAUCGGAACGUGCCCAGUCGUGGGGGAUAACGUAGCGAAAGUUACGCUAAUACUGCAUACGAUCUACGGAUGAAAGCGGGGGAUCGCAAGACCUCGCGCGAUUGGAGCGGCCGAUAUCAGAUUAGGUAGUUGGUGGGGUAAAGGCUCACCAAGCCAACGAUCUGUAGCUGGUCUGAGAGGACGACCAGCCACACUGGAACUGAGACACGGUCCAGACUCCUACGGGAGGCAGCAGUGGGGAAUUUUGGACAAUGGACGCAAGUCUGAUCCAGCCAUUCCGCGUGCAGGAUGAAGGCCCUCGGGUUGUAAACUGCUUUUGUACAGAACGAAAAGGCUCUUCCUAAUACGAGGGGCUCAUGACGGUACUGUAAGAAUAAGCACCGGCUAACUACGUGCCAGCAGCCGCAGUAA